AAUGAAAGAAUUCCUGUGGUUUGGCCUUUUCUCUGGAAGUCAUACACUCACCAAAAGAAGCUGCAGAGGCGACAUGCUAACAUUUGUUUACUGUGGAUCUCCCUUUGAAGAGUGAUUACAACAACAUCAUUCUACAUAUCCGGAGGGUGGAUUUCUUAUCUCCCUGAAGGAGAAGGAGAACAAUCACAUAUUUGAUAAGUUCAAACAAAAGCGCACACAAUUAUAGGAAGUGAAAUGUUUGCUAAAAGAGGGCAGUUUAUACAAAACCCAUUUUUAUAACAUCGUAUACAUAUUUAUUUCAUGACAGCUUUCAAGACCAGCUUUCCAUAACUGCAGUAUCUCUGUUUUGUGGAGUAUUUUCCAAUUGAAAAUUGACGCUUAAGGGGAAACAUUCUCAGAGCAGAGACGUUACAAGA
rnacentral:lncRNA from 1 species